AGAAAAUGUCUGGCACAACAAUGGAAAAGUGAUUGCUGUUUGAUGUCAAUAGUUCAAGAAUUGGAAGAUUUUGGAUCAAGUAUCGCAUAGUCAGGAAUAAUAUUUGUUUAUUUGAACAUGUGGCUCAAGGCCAUUAUUAGUGUAGUCAAGUUCAGCAAAAGAAGAUCUAUAAAGAUGUUCACUAAAUAAAAUGACAGAUGUCUUGC
rnacentral:lncRNA from 1 species